rnacentral:rRNA from 1 species
AACCGGGGGGGGGGAGCCCGUCUGGGGACACCUCCCACCCGUGUUUAUUUUACCUUGUUGCUUCGGCGGGCCCGCCUUAACUGGCCGCCGGGGGGCUUACGCCCCCGGGCCCGCGCCCGCCGAAGACACCCUCGAACUCUGUCUGAAGAUUGUAGUCUGAGUGAAAAUAUAAAUUAUUUAAAACUUUCAACAACGGAUCUCUUGGUUCCGGCAUCGAUGAAGAACGCAGCGAAAUGCGAUACGUAAUGUGAAUUGCAAAUUCAGUGAAUCAUCGAGUCUUUGAACGCACAUUGCGCCCCCUGGUAUUCCGGGGGGCAUGCCUGUCCGAGCGUCAUUGCUGCCCUCAAGCACGGCUUGUGUGUUGGGCCCCGUCCUCCGAUCCCGGGGGACGGGCCCGAAAGGCAGCGGCGGCACCGCGUCCGGUCCUCGAGCGUAUGGGGCUUUGUCACCCGCUCUGUAGGCCCGGCCGGCGCUUGCCGAUCAACCCAAAUUUUUAUCCAGGUUGACCUCGGAUCAGGUAGGGAUACCCGCUGAACUUAAGCAUAUCAAUAAGCGGAGGAAGA